UCGGUGCCGGCGGCGGGUCGGGGCGCGGAGGCGGCGCGCAGGUGGCGCGGGGGACGCCGAGGCCGAACGUGAUACGGCCGGAAGGCCGGCGAGGAGGCCCACCAGGACGGGCGCAGGAAGAGGGAGGUUGGGCCGCUGCAGCUGAGGGUCCAAAAGCGGGGGACUCGGGGUCCCGGGGGAGGCCGACUCGGGGGGCCGCGCACCUGCCUCCCCGCCGGCUGCCGAUUCCUGCUGGCUGUCUGCGAGCCAUCCCGGGCCCCCGGGCGCUGCCCUGUGCGGCGGUGACCACCUGCCACCGAGGCGACGGGAACUCCCGUAACUUUUUUAUAUUCAGAUGUUGCGUUGGUAUUUUGUAUACGUUGGGCUAAAUUAAAAUGUUUGACUAGCUUCUAGAAAUUUUAAAAUAUCGGUUGUGCCUCCCACCCUAUUUUUGCUGGACGGCGCUGCCCUAGCCUGAUCCGCCGUCCCUUUCCGUCACUGCUCAAAGCCUCUGCCAGCACGUCUGCCUUUCCCUGGCAGCCCGCCCCACCCCCACCCCUGGAACAGACCGUUUGUCUCCAGGAAACCUUCCUCUUCAUUUGUAUUCGCUUCCUCUGUUGCGAAACGCCACCACCAGUAGCUUUGAGACUUCUCAUCAAUUUAAUAACAUGGCAGGAAGAAGAGAAACACGCCCACGUUAAAUGUACACGUUGGCUGUAAUAACAUCCUCAUUUCAGAAAUGAUUUCGGAAGCGCUCGUGAGACCAGGGUUUAGGUGCCUAAAGAGCGGGGUUUGAGUUUCUUCUGCUGGGGACAGUGAAGAGAUCUAGACACCACGACGAUGAGUUUGUGCCAGCACGGAGGCAGCUUCGCCCCAGAGCAUACAGUCCCGACAAAGAUGAGAACGUUGGGAUCAAGGGGAGAGUGAAGCAGACAAGGGUGCAACGGCCGCGAAUGAGCCUCACUCUGGCCGAGUCUGCCUCCAUGGCUGCAGCUGAGGGCGGCCGAAACGCACCUCGAGGCGGGUGACUGGCCUCUGGCCUGACCCAGGCCCGGUAUUCCGAUACCUCAGCCACACCAACGUGCCUUCGCCUCAGGAUGCCUUUGCUCAGCUUGAAUUGGCCUCACGUACCAACCCGUGCAGGAGCAGCAGAGCGGGGGUCUCAGCUGGAAGGAGGCCUGGUUUGGGGGAGGCCCGAGACCCCCUGUUUCUGUGGGGUUGGUCCCGGAACGCAGGCUGGUUGACUGAAGGCCUCUGCAGGCCUCAGCUUUGAGGGGAGGGCCGGCUCGGUCUCAUUCUUCCUAAGACCCUCUCACAUACCUUCCAAAAUCAGCUCCAGAGAGAGGCAGUGGGGCGUGUUCACCUUGUGCCCCAGGCCAUGGGCCGGAAUGUGCCCUGGGAGGUUGGUGCCCCACCUGCCCCUGUGGUUGUGUCUCUGGGGACCCACACAACUACAGGACAUCCUCCAGGCGUCGCGUUCCCCGGAGAAGUUGCCCAUUAAAUAGCAGAUGUUUUGAUAAAUACCGUUCUCAAAAGCA